GUGUCAGCCGCCGCGGUAAUACGGAGGGUGCGAGCGUUAAUCGGAAUUACUGGGCGUAAAGCGCAUGCAGGUGGUCUGUUAAGUCAGAUGUGAAAGCCCGGGGCUUAACCUCGGAAUAGCAUUUGAAACUGGCAGGCUAGAGUACUGUAGAGGGGGGUAGAAUUUCAGGUGUAGCGGUGAAAUGCGUAGAGAUCUGAAGGAAUACCGAUUAACGCUUGCACCCUCCGUAU
rnacentral:rRNA from 1 species